rnacentral:rRNA from 1 species
GACGAACGCUGGCGGCGUGCUUAACACAUGCAAGUCGAACGGUAAGGCCCUUCGGGGUACACGAGUGGCGAACGGGUGAGUAACACGUGGGUGAUCUGCCCUGCACUUCGGGAUAGCCAUCGGAAACGGUGGGUAAUUCCGCGUACGCCCGGUUGCCUGUGGGGCGAUCGGGGAAAGGCGCAAGACACCCGGGGAGGAGCCUGCGGCCGAUUAGCUGGUUGGUGGGGUAACGGCCUAGCAAGGCGAGGAUCGGUAGCUGGUCUGAGAGGACGGCCAGCCAAACGGGGACUGAGAGACGGCCCCGACUCCUACGGGAGGCAGCAGCAAGGAAUCUUCCGCAAUGGGCGAAAGCCUGACGGAGCAACGCCGCGUGGGGGAGGACGCUUUUCGGAGUGUAAACCCCUUUUCUCGGGGACGAAGCACUGACGGUACCCGAGGAAGAAGGACCGGCUAACUACGUGCCAGCAGCCGCCGUAA